AGAUUAUCCUCUUUUGCUGCUGAGCGAGGUGUGCACGGAUGCGAGCGAGGACGCAAUGGCUUGGGAUCAGUAUCUUGGCUCCAAAGAUGUGAAGAAGCCAUCGCUUCUUCAGAAGGACGCACUUGGAAUUACCACUUAAAGGCAAGCAGCUUCCUGUGCCUCGGAGGAAACUCGCUGGAUGUGGAAUGAGCUAAGAAGUAAUUACCUUUCCCAACCCAUCUUCUAAGAUAUGUUUGCGAGAUAUAAAUGUAUUCCAUGAUGGAAACAUUAACCUAUUGGAGAGAAGAAGAAGUCUGAAUGCUGUGCUUUUCCAAAUAAGUACUCUACAGGUAUUUUUAUUCUAUACCAAUCCACUGCUGAGAAAGUUUUAGAGAUUAUUAAUAACACAGCUGAGUAAUAUGCUGUGUAUUUGCAGUGGAAAUAUAGCAGUUUAAAAAAUCAGUGUGUGAGUGGUGUUUAUUUUUUUUUUUUUU